rnacentral:misc_RNA from 1 species
GUAGGUGAACCUGCGGAAGGAUCAUUAUUGAAUACUGAAUCGGUUCUGAUGCUGGCUCUUCACUGGGCAUGUGCUCGUCCGUUCAUAUUUGCCUUCUCUUGUGCACAUUUUGUAGUCCUUUGGAACAAGUGAAUUUUUCGUGCUGCUGUGAUUAACUUCGCGGUGGUUGCGGUUUGGGGGAUUGGGUGUAACAGCCCUUCCUCUGUUUAUGCGCGUUGCUGCGAUUUACUUCGUGGUGACUGCGGUUUGGGGGUUGAGCGUCAGCACUUCCCCUGCCUUUGCUUUUUUCCAAGGCUAUGUUUUCAUAUACCCUAUACAAUGUUACAGAAUGUCUUUAACGAUUGUGCUUGGUCGCAGUCAUUAAACCUAUACAACUUUCAGCAACGGAUCUCUUGGCUCUC